rnacentral:lncRNA from 1 species
AAUCGCUAGGAAGCCACGUAUUCACGAAGCCACGCAGUGACGUCGCCACGCACGUACGCACGCACUUGCCACAAGGAGACGCUGUUCAGUUUACCGGAUCCUGUCCCGCGCCAGCCAACCAGGACAAGGCCGGGGAGCUCGAGACAGGCAGCCUAGACCAAGAACCGGAAGGAGGAAAAGGAACCGGAGGGAGGAAGAGGAGGGGCGGGACGAGACCACCAGGCAAGAGUCCAAACUUUCCCGCGGCGACCUAACUGCACCUCCAGUGUCUUCCCCCAGAGGGCACAGAAGCAGCAAGAAGGGCGGGAACACUUGACUGGGGUCCAUGCAGCUCUAGGCUGAGUCUUGCAGGGCUGAGCCCCCCAGGCCUGCUCUCCUGUGUCCUGGCCGCUCCGUCAGUGCCUGCCAGUGGGGUCCAGAGGGACCGUUUUUUUAACGCCUCUUUUGCAGUGAGAUGCGCCUACUUCUCCCUGGAGAAGCUUGAGGAAGCAGAAAUGCUGGAGAUGAGAGACCUCGUCCGCACAGGGGCUUGUUCUUCUGUGUCUUUGCAGGGCUGUUUUGGACUCAGUAUUCACCUAAGCACUCCAAAUUACCCAGCACACCCUGCCUGCAUGGCGCUGCGCUGCACCUUCACUCUGGUCACGGGUCUGGCAGUCAGCUCACCAAUUCCUCCUGCUUCCCUGGGACUUGCCGGCUUUUAGCACUGCAAUUCACUCAGCAAACUGGGACUGUUGGUCACCCUACCUGGCAGCCAGUGAUAAGGUGAGGGCCACUCCUGGGAGGGAGGACACCUGUGGGGAAAAUUCUUGUGUUAUUUAUUUCUCCUUCGGGAUAGGGUGCCUGCAGCGCUUCAUGGGAGGGGGUGGGCUGAUGCUGCGGGCUCAGAAGUUUCAAGGGCAUCUGGGGAGACCAGAUAUUCAGAGACCUUCUAGAUGUGCCUGUUCCAUGUAUCAGGGACGCAGGUUUUCCCAACAGGGCUGGUGUCAUUGGCAUGACAGACCUGCCUUGGCUGAGCGUUCACCUGUCUUUGGAGUUCAGCCACCUUAGCAAGUCCUGGGUUUGUUCUUCAGACUUUGCUGCUCGCCCAUUGCCUGGAUCGGGGGCUACUUUGUAAACCACCAGGAAGACUCCAGUGUUUCUGGUUAAUUUUUAGAUGUUUGUUAAUUGCUCUUGGUCUCUCAUUAAUCCCCUGUGGGUCAUCCAGGAAACAUACUCACCACUGUCUGUUCUCUGAGUUUUCAUUUCCAGGCAUCCGCCCUGCCUGGAUCUCCUCACCUGCCAGGAACUUCCUCUCCACAAGCCGGCCAUCCCAGCAAAAGUUCUAACACCAAAGGUCUGGCAACUAGCCUGCCAUCUUGUGCCUGGAGCCGCCUGCGUGCCACCUACUCCCGAAGAUGGGAACCUUGUUGCCAGUUGGGCAGAUGCGGGGCAAUCCUGUACCAAGACCCCAUUUUACCACCUGCUUUCUCAGACCACUCUGGAACCCACUGUCUCAGAUUGUGUCCUCCAGGAAGCAGACCAUGAGAGGGAGUUGGCAGGGCCAAAGAUUUACUGGGGCUAACUAACACUCAGGAAAGGGAUAGGAAGGAAACAGGGCUGGAGAGCAGGUUGAGCCCGACCUGACAGUCUCGAGCAGCCCAACAGGGAGGUGUGGAGCAAGGGUUGCCCACUAGAGGGGCCUGCAUUGGGUACGGGUGAUGGGGUCCACAUGGUACCUGGCAUAUAGCAGGCUGUGCAAUCCAUAUUAACUGACUGGAUAAAUUAAUGCCCAGAAAAGGUGCCCUGGAGAAUGGGUGUGUGCUGAACACAAUAGGGAAGGGCCCAGCAUCUGCCUUGGCAUAGGCAGAACUGUGCUGUGCCCUGCAACAGGCCACCUGAGAGCUGCUUUGAUCUUGUGUGUACAUUAGAUGACUGCCAGGGGCAUGAAGGGGAUGUGCUUCCAGGGCAUUUGCUGGCAGGGCGUCUCGUGAUCUCUUGGUAUUGGUGUGAGCACAGCCUGGCAGGAGAGGGCAGAUCUCCAUGCAAAGUAUGUCAGAAAGCAGAUGGAAGCCAGGCCCCCUCCUGAAAGAGGCUCCUUGAAGGCUCCUGGGACCACAUUAUCAUUCUCUUCACUCGAGAGAUGAGGACACUGAAAUUCAGAGAGGGGAAGUGAUUUGCCUCAGCUUGUACUAAAGAAACAUUUCAACAGAGAACCCAGUGGAAAUUAUGACAUGUUAUCUUCUCAGAGUCCUGAACUCCCAUCCCUACCUCAGAAGAGACUCCUCUGUUCACAGAAGCUAAAGGCAGUUCCUUCCCAAUGGCAACUAUGUUUGGAUGUUGGAUCUACACUUUCUCAAGCACUGUGAUCUUCAAAUACUGCCAUCCAGGGCCAUGCAGCAAACAAGCAACAGGGAAAUAUCCCACUAUGCAAUCCUAUUUUGAGAUGAUAUUUAGGAUGAGAGAACAUGCAUUAGUUACCUACCAGCUUGACAGGAAUGGAUUUCCAAAUCUGACACACCAUAGCCUGAAUUCUCACCAGUUUGCUCCUGGAAAGGCCCGCUCAUGCAGCAUGAGCCCCUGCCACUCUUCUAAAUAAGCUUCCAGGCAUUACCUGCAUGCUGUGUUCCUGUGGUGGGAUGGCAGUAAUCUCUGCUAAGAUAAACGGGAGCUUCUGUGGAUAAAGCAUAAACGCAGUGAAGUGUGUGUGGCUGGAAGAUUUAAUGCCUCUACAGUGCUUAGAUACAAGUUGAGCUUGGAAUUCCAGAGGUAGAGCACUGCUGAUUGGAGACAUAUUAAGUAAAAUGUACUGUGGAAAUGAGAUAAAACCUUUAUUCUUGCUAAUGAUUGUCAUUGUAUGUAUUCAGGUGUCCAACAAAGGAUUUUAGAAUAAAGUGUGCCUUUAAAGUUU